rnacentral:rRNA from 1 species
AACGAACGCUGGCGGCAUGCCUAACACAUGCAAGUCGAACGAGACCUUCGGGUCUAGUGGCGCACGGGUGCGUAACGCGUGGGAACCUGCCCUUAGGUUCGGAAUAACUCCCCGAAAGGGGUGCUAAUACCGGAUAAUGUCUUCGGACCAAAGAUUUAUCGCCUUUGGAUGGGCCCGCGUUGGAUUAGCUAGUUGGUAGGGUAAAAGCCUACCAAGGCGGCGAUCCAUAGCUGGUCUGAGAGGAUGAUCAGCCACACUGGGACUGAGACACGGCCCAGACUCCUACGAGAGGCAGCAAGGGUGAAUAUGGGACGAUGGGCGAGAGCCUGAUCCAGCAUUGCCGCGUGAGUGAUGAAGGCGUGAGGGUUGUAUAGCUCAUUUACCGGGGAUGAUAAGGACGGAACCGGUAGAAUAGGCUCCGGCAACCACCUU